GAUGAACGCUGGCGGCGUGCCUAAUACAUGCAAGUCGAGCGAACAGACGAGGAGCUUGCUCCUCUGACGUUAGCGGCGGACGGGUGAGUAACACGUGGAUAACCUACCUAUAAGACUGGGAUAACUUCGGGAAACCGGAGCUAAUACCGGAUAAUAUAUUGAACCGCAUGGUUCAAUAGUGAAAGACGGUUUUGCUGUCACUUAUAGAUUGAUCCGCGCCGCAUUAGCUAGUUGGUAAGGUAACGGCUUACCAAGGCAACGAUGCGUAGCCGACCUGAGAGGGUGAUCGGCCACACUGGAACGGAGACACGGUCCAGACUCCUACGGGAGGCAGCAGUAGGGAAUCUUCCGCAAUGGGCGAAAGCCUGACGGAGCAACGCCGCGUGAGUGAUGAAGGUCUUCGGAUCGUAAAACUCUGUUAUUAGGGAAGAACAAAUGUGUAAGUAACUAUGCACGUCUUGACGGUACCUAAUCAGAAAGCCACGGCUAACUACGUG
rnacentral:rRNA from 1 species